ACGGCGAGUGAAGCGGCAAAAGCUCAAAUUUGAAAUCUGGCUUCGGCCCGAGUUGUAAUUUGUAGAGGAUGUUUCGGGCACCGCCCCGGCGUAAGUCCCUUGGAACAGGGCGUCAUAGAGGGUGAGAAUCCCGUCUGGCGUCGUGGUAGGGCCCAUGUGAAACUCCUUCGACGAGUCGAGUUGUUUGGGAAUGCAGCUCAAAAUGGGUGGUAAAUUUCAUCUAAAGCUAAAUACUGGCCAGAGACCGAUAGCGCACAAGUAGAGUGAUCGAAAGAUGAAAAGCACUUUGAAAAGAGAGUUAAACAGUAUGUGAAAUUGUUGAAAGGGAAGCGCUUACAACCAGACUUGAGCCCGUCGGUUCCCCCUCGCUUCUGCGUGGGCUACUCCGGCGGGUCCAGGCCAACAUCGGUUCGGGUGGCUGGUCAAAGGCCCCGGGAAUGUACCUCACCUUCGGGUUAGGCUUAUAGCCCGGGGUGUCAUGCGGCCUACCUGGACCGAGGAACGCGCUUCGGCUCGGAUGUUGGCGUAAUGGUUGUCAGCGACCCGUCUUGAAACACGGACCAAGGAGUCGAAGAGCUAUGCGAGUGUUUGGGUGUCAAACCCGUACGCGUAAUGAAAGUGAACGGAGGUAGGAAGCUUCGGCUGCACUAUCGACCGAUCCUGAUGUUCUCGGAUGGAUUUGAGUAAGAGCAUAACUCUCCGGACCCGAAAGAUGGUGAACUAUGCCUGAAUAGGGUGAAGCCAGAGGAAACUCUGGUGGAGGCUCGCAGCGGUUCUGACGUGCAAAUCGAUCGUCAAAUUUGGGUAUAGGGGCGAAAGACUAAUCGAACCAGUAGCUGGUUCCUGCCGAAGUUUCCCUCAGGAUAGCAGUAACGUUUUCAGUUUAUGAGGUAAAGCGAAUGAUUAGAGGCCUUGGGGUUGAAACAACUUAACCUAUUCUCAAACUUUAAAUAUGUAGA
rnacentral:rRNA from 1 species